rnacentral:rRNA from 1 species
AACGUAGGAGACAAACGUUAUCCGGAGUUACUGGGCGUAAAGGGCGUGUAGGUGGUUUCGUAAGUCUGGCGUGAAAUUUUUCGGCUUAACCGGGAAAGGUCGACGGGUACUGCGGAACUAGAGGACGGUAGAGGCGUGUGGAAUUCCGGGUGUAGUGGUGAAAUGCGUAGAGAUCCGGAGGAACACCAGUGGCGAAGGCGACACGCUGGGCCGUACCUGACACUGAUGCGCGACAGCAUGGGGAGCAAACAGG